GACGAACCGAGCGACCGUUGUUCGGAAUCACUGGGCUUAAAGGGCGCGUAGGCGGGCUGUCAAGUCUGGGGUGAAAUCCCGCGGCUCAACCGCGGAACUGCCUCAGAUACUGACGGUCUCGAGGGGGGUAGGGGCGAGCGGAACUGAUGGUGGAGCGGUGAAAUGCGUUGAUAUCAUCAGGAACGCCGGUGGCGAAGGCGGCUCGCUGGACCCCUUCUGACGCUGAGGCGCGAAAGCCAGGGGAGCAAACGGG
rnacentral:rRNA from 1 species